rnacentral:RNase_P_RNA from 1 species
CUUUGGAGCCAGAUCGUCGCUCCGAGUUCUUUGAUCUCAGAGAGGAAAGUCCGGACACCACAGGGCAGGACUCCCGGCAAGAAAAGUUGUCGCGCCGACCCGGUGCGCGCCGCCGCAAGGCUGCGCCCGCGCCGAUCGGACACGCCUCCGCUCAAGCCGGGGCAACACGGGCCACAUCCCGCGUUGACGGACAGUGUCACAGAAAACAAGUAGCCGCGCGCCAAGUCGAAAGACCGCGCGCGCGGUCAUAGUGAAAAGGUGGUGUAAGAGACCACCGCGCCCCGCCGCAAGGCGGGCGGCACGAAAAACCCAAUCCGGUGCAAGGCAAAAUAGGCGGCUGGACGGCCCGUCCCACAGUCGCGGGUAUGCCGCAUCGCGUCGCAAGACGCGGAAGUCGCGCAAGCGGCUUAGAGAAAUGACGGUCAUGGCGCAAAUCUUCGGACGCGCGCCUUACAUAAUCCGGCUUACCGGCUCCAAAGCUAA